GGUUUAUGAUUUAGGGUUUGGGUUUAAGAUUUAAAGUUUUGGGUUUAGGGUUUAGGAUUUAGGGUUUUUGAUAUAGGGUUUGGGUUUAAGAUUUAAAGUUUUGGGUUUAGGGUUUAGGAUUUAGGGUUUAGAUUUUAGAAUUUAGGGUUUAGGGUUUAGUGUUUUGCAUUUAGACUUUAGGGUUUAGAUUUUAGGAUUUAGGGUUUAUUGUGUAGGGUUUGGGUUUUAGGGUUUAAGAUUUAAGGUUUAGAUUUUAGGAUUGAGGUUUAUAGUUUAGUGUUUUGGAUUUAGGGUCUAUGGUUUUAUAGUUUAGGUUUUUAGAAUUUUGCAGAUAGCGCUAAAUAAUGUCGGUGUUGUUUUUUUUCCAGAUAUUUAAUUUUUUAUUUUUAUUGUCUUUUUAAGCUAUUUCACAUGGCAUUUUGGUUGGUUAUGAAGAGUGUGGUGAAUUUAACCAUUC
rnacentral:lncRNA from 1 species